rnacentral:rRNA from 1 species
AGGGAAUCUUCCGCAAUGGGCGAAAGCCUGACGGAGCAACGCCGCGUGAGUGAUGAAGGUCUUCGGAUCGUAAAACUCUGUUAUUAGGGAAGAACAAGGAUGUAAGUAACUAUGCAUCCCUUGACGGUACCUAAUCAGAAAGCCACGGCUAACUACGUGCCAGCAGCCGCGGUAAUACGUAGGUGGCAAGCGUUAUCCGGAAUUAUUGGGCGUAAAGCGCGCG